UACGAAGGGGGCUGGCGUUGCUCGGAAUGACUGGGCGUAAAGGGCGCGUAGGCGGCUCAUACAGUCAGAUGUGAAAUUCCUGGGCUUAACCUGGGGGCUGCAUUUGAUACGUGUGGGCUUGAGUGGGGAAGAGGGUCGUGGAAUUCCCAGUGUAGAGGUGAAAUUCGUAGAUAUUGGGAAGAACACCGGUGGCGAAGGCGGCGACCUGGUCCUUGACUGACGCUGAGGCGCGAAAGCGUGGGGAGCAAACAGG
rnacentral:rRNA from 1 species